GACGACGCUGGCGGCAUGCUUAACACAUGCAAGUCGAACGAGUGGCGGACGGGUGAGUAAUGUCUGGGAAACUGCCUGAUGGAGGGGGAUAACUACUGGAAACGGUAGCUAAUACCGCAUACCAUCGGAUGUGCCCAGAUGGGAUUAGCUAGUAGGUGGGGUAAAGGCUCACCUAGGCGACGAUCCCUAGCUGGUCUGAGAGGAUGACCAGCCACACUGGAACUGAGACACGGUCCAGACUCCUACGGGAGGCAGCAGUGGGGAAUAUUGCAAAAUGGGCGCAAGCCUGAUGCAGCCAUGCCGCGUGUAUGAAGAAGGCCUUCGGGUUGUAAAGUACUUUCAGCGGGGAGGCGUUACCCGCAGAAGAAGCACCGGCUAACUCCGUGCCAGCAGCCGCGGUAAUAC
rnacentral:rRNA from 1 species